rnacentral:rRNA from 1 species
AUUGAACGCUGGCGGCAGGCCUAACACAUGCAAGUCGAACGGUAACAGGAAGAAGCUUGCUUCUUUGCUGACGAGUGGCGGACGGGUGAGUAAUGUCUGGGAAACUGCCUGAUGGAGGGGGAUAACUACUGGAAACGGUAGCUAAUACCGCAUAACGUCGCAAGACCAAAGAGGGGGACCUUCGGGCCUCUUGCCAUCGGAUGUGCCCAGAUGGGAUUAGCUAGUAGGUGGGGUAACGGCUCACCCAGGCGACGAUCCCUAGCUGGUCUGAGAGGAUGACCAGCCACACUGGAACUGAGACACGGUCCAGACUCCUACGGGAGGCAGCAGUGGGGAAUAUUGCACAAUGGGCGCAAGCCUGAUGCAGCCAUGCCGCGUGUAUGAAGAAGGCCUUCGGGUUGUAAAGUACUUUCAGCGGGGAGGAAGGGGGUAAAGUUAAUACCUUUGCUCAUUGACGUUACCCGCAGAAGAAGCACCGGCUAACUCCGUG